rnacentral:lncRNA from 1 species
UAAUUGUUGUAUAUAAUAACAAUGUAUUAAGGCUGAAUCUGUAACUCUAUAGUUUUUAUUAACUUUGUUUAUCUUCCAUUUUCACUAAAUGCUCUCAAUGCUCCCACUGUAGCAAGGAGCAAGCAGACAGCAUUAGAAGUUAGUUUUUGAAGACUGUGGAGCGUUUAGCAACAAAAGAAUCAAAUCUGAAGUUUGCAAAGAUCUAAAAGAGUGAAUUGUUCACUCUUUCAUUCAUCAAAUCACAAGAAACAUAACAAAAAAUGUUAAUGCUGCACCAUAACUGCUGAAUGUGUAAACAAGAAACUAAGUGUUGUUUGAUUCUGCUCCCUUCUUAAUCCUGGUACCUUUUAUUCCCCAGUGAGACUGCAGACACCCAGCAUCUCCCUGACCUCUCCUAGUGCAGGUCUGGUCUGGGGUCCUGAAGGUCAGAGAUCACCAGGGGUUACAGUUUGUCCUCACCUGCUCCGUUAACUCCAGAUUUUCCAGUGGACGUUUCUUCUCAUCUUCUCUGACUCCAACAUCACAGACAGCAAGCCAGCAGUCAACAACUCAGCCUCCUUUAGUUUCCCUGUAGCUGAGUAUGAACACCAAGGCAACUACAGCUGUGUGUAUGAAGUCACAGUGUCCACACGGACAUUCAAUUCUACUGCAACAGCACCCAUUACUGUCAUCAUUAAAUUUCCUUGGAUGCUGCUGGUCUCGUCUGUAGUUCCUGUGGUCCUGCUGCUCCUGCUGGUCUCGUUGGUGGUGUUACUGGUGCCCAGGAGAAGGAGACAAACACAGCAGGCCCACAUCCACACCACAGUGACUCUAAAAUCCUGCAAUGAAGAAGAUGACAUCAGUGACGAGGAGAGGAUCUAUUUGAAUGUUGAGACACUGAACACCUACAGGAAUUUUACCAAACAACUGGAAGGAGCGGAGAGAGAGGAAACAGAGGAGAAGAGAUAAAAUCCCAUCAAUAGAAGUGAUUUUAGUCUAAAUUGAGCUGUACAUAUAUAGUACGUACAUUUUUUUAAAGUAUAGAGUAAAAGAAUACAUAAAGCAAAGUUGUUUUUAUUGUGAAGCCUGAAAAAGAUUUGUCUUUUAGAUGAUUAGUAAAAUGAUAUAAUGCAAGUAAUUUGCAAUAAAAACAAAAAACAACUUGUUCUUGGAGUAUUUGGAAAUUAAUUACACAAUAUAACUGCUACUAUCUCCAAAACAGUGACCUACAGCACACACCUGUAUUUAUUAUUCAGGCCACUCACCUGUCUGACUGUUACAUACAUACAGUCUUGGUCUUCGACAUCAUCAUGUAGAAUAUAUCUUUAGCCUAAAACAGAUACACACAAGCCUGGAUGCAUUAUGGCACCUUUUAACCAAUAGCUUCCCCUUUCCUGGCGUCAAACCACCUCUUUUCUGUGAACCAUUUCUGAAAAACUCAAAUGA